UGACAGAACGCGUUGCUAAUUGCUAAUUGUGUGUCUCAUUAGUGUUGGGGGUGACAGGUGUUGCGAGCAUGUCGUGCCUCUGUUGCGCCGUUUCUCCCGUGAGUUUCCUCCUUCCCCACAGCGGCUGACGCUACCGAAGCUCAAGCUUAAUGGCCCCCCCGGGACGGUCCUCUGGUGGGUCUCGGGGUCCUCGCCUUUUGGAUACUGUGAUACAGCAACAUGCAUGGGAUAACUCCCCUGACUCGAUGCACUGCAACGAUGGAUUCCACGUCAAAAUAUUUUCCUGCUGGCUUUAAAACACAAACCAGUGGAGCUUUUUCGAUGGGAUCGGCUCAUUGAAGGGAAGUAUGGGUCACUCACGAACGACAUUCAUCGUAAUGCAGAACACAGGCGCUGGCUGGUGGUGUCUGUUUCUACAAAGACGAAGGAUCAACUUCACAACAGAAGAAUGUGGACAUUUGGAAUUAUCAGGAGAAAACAGCAGGGCGGGAAGACAAAGACACAUGCACACAGACACAAGUGUGUCCAUACGUGUGUGUGUGUGUGUGUGUGUGUGUGUGUGUGUGUGUGUGUUUAAAGCUCUAAGAAGUGCCAUGACAAAAUGAACUUAAAAGCAUUUGAUGCAUCCUGCUGAAUAUUUGAAAUGAUUAUCAUUGUAUCUCUGUAAGAUGUCAAAAAGAAUACGCUGACAUUUAAAAGUAGUAAAAUAAAAAUGUACUAUUAAGCUUAUAGUCUAUAGUUGUGAGUUUACUUUUAGUGUACGAUAACUUGGAGAAGCAUUUCUCAUA